GGCGCUUUGGCGGAGUGGUUAACGCGAUGGCCUGCUAAGCCAUUUCCUUCGGGAGCGCAGGUUCGAAUCCUGCAGGCGUCG
rnacentral:tRNA from 1 species